rnacentral:lncRNA from 9 species
CGUGAGUUAAACAGAGUUUAACAGGGUCAGAGUCUUUAAUGUGCUAGUCUGCUGAACCAGUUUCCAAGGGAGAAGGUGGGUAUGCAGAAUACCCUGGUUGUAUUUGACCACAUCUAGAUUUUUUUUUUUUCAGCAUCUUCAAGGAGAAUUGUAUUCUAUGUAAAACAUGUUGAACAUUAUUGAUUUAAACUUAAGAAAGUGGUGAGAAUUUCCUAAGCUCUUCAGAGGGACAACUUCAGAGAGUAAACAUGUGAGUGCCCCUGGCUGCAGGCAGGGACGAAAGUGAGAACAAAAACCCGAAGCCAAGAAAAGAGGCUGCAGCCAUGACUGAGGUUCAAAACAAAGGUGUGCAUGUGUAUAAUCACUGAUGAAAGCAGUCUAGGAAGAAAUCCUGCAAGAGAUGCCAUCAAUCCAAAGAGCGAAACCAGAUGGGCAGAUUUUAAUUUUUUCUAAUUACUAAGGAAAAUGGGAAAGUCUUUUGUAACUCUUGUCAACCUAAAGAGAGAAGUCAGCCAUGAACAUUCUUCUGUGUUUCUCAGUGUUCCCAGG